UACGUAGGGUGCAAGCGUUGUCCGGAUUUAUUGGGCGUAAAGAGCUCGUAGGCGGCUUGUCGCGUCGACUGUGAAAACCCGUGGCUCAACCAUGUGGUCUGCAGUCGAUACGGGCAGGCUAGAAUUCGGUAGGGGAGACUGGAAUUCCUGGUGUAGCGGUGAAAUGCGCAGAUAUCAGGAAGAACACCCGUGGCGAAGGCGGCUCUCUGGGACGGUACUGACGCUGAGACGCGAAAGCGUGGGUAGCAAACAGG
rnacentral:rRNA from 1 species